AUACGAGGGGUGCAAGCGUUAAUCGGAAUUACUGGGCGUAAAGCGUUCGUAGGCGGUUUGUUAAGCAAGGUGUGAAAGCCCUGGGCUCAACCUGGGAACUGCAUUUUGAACUGGCAAGCUAGAAUACUGUAGAGGGUGGUGGAAUUUCCAGUGUAGCGGUGAAAUGCGUAGAGAUUGGAAGGAACAUCAGUGGCGAAGGCGGCCACCUGGACAGAUAUUGACGCUGAGGAACGAAAGCGUGGGGAGCGAACAGGAUUAGAUACCCUAGUAGUCC
rnacentral:rRNA from 1 species